ensembl:processed_transcript Gm27252 predicted gene 27252
GAGGACAGCGCAGCCCACAAGGAUAAGGGUACAUCUGGCUGGUGUCUUGAUCACUACAAAUGCUAGUGACCAAGACAGAGGAUCUGCAGAUGACUUGUCUCCCCCACCCAGGGACCAGAUGCUGUGGGAGCCAGUGCCACUGAUCUCAGCCAAGAGGCUAAGAAGUGAUGAGCGCGCACACACACGAGCCAUCAGGACGCAGAAGUAAGACUGCUAUUUAACCUCAGAAUCCACUUCGGACUGCUAUGUGUCUUGAAAAUUUCAGCAAUGGAUGCAAGGAUAUUUCCUGAGGUCAUGGAAACUGGAAAAGCCAGUGGAAACCAGGCAGACACAGUUCAUAAGGAGAAUACAGUGGAUCUCUCAAACAACCCCAGACAUCCCCCUACCACGAUGUCAAGGCAAAGGAGUCCACUGAAUUGUAUUCACCAGAUGGUCAGGCUACAGGGACACAGCCAUUCUGUCCCUCUGCUCAGGACAACUGUGAAAAGCUCCUCUCUGGGAGACUGGCAACAUUAGAAAGAUUAUAAACGUGGCCACUGAGACUGUAGCUCAGUACUGGCCCAUUACUGGAGAAGACCAGGCCCACUGUUGCAUUUUAAACACUGCAUAUCCUUCAACCCUCUAAACCUUUCAGUGCCUAGCCUACACAUGUGUGCACACCUGCACACUUACAAAAUGCACUCACACCC